AUGACGACAGCUAGCUGUACGAACAACGAAGAGAUGAGGAGACCUCUCACUUUUUGUUCGUCUAUAUAUCUGUUCGCUCUCACUCUCUAUUGUGGAAUGUUCUAAUCUGCUAUUCACUGCAAGGCCAGGAGGAUUCUUCACACAGACGGAGACAGCAGGCAGCUCAACCACUUAAAUACGCAGUUGUCUGUUGCUAUGGCAACUGCCUUUUGUGGGGGGGGGGGGGGGACAGGGGUGCGCGUUGUCAGCUACAACGGUGAGCUACAGGAACCUCCAGUACCUUGGGUUGAUAAAAAGCCAAUGUGAGCACACACUAGCCACCUGCUUUGCAAACUUCGGAGGCAAUCACAGCAGAAAAGCCCCGGCGAGAGCACUAAGCUGCAGACGGCGGAGAGAACACUCCGCACCUGCUGGCAGUACUCUAUUAGUAACCCAGAUGGAACUGAUCAGGUCCACUUCCACCCCACUACAUGCUAUAACACCCACCACUGAUGGGGUCAUAUAUUCUGUGCCUGACUUAUUACACAUAAACUAUAUAUACUAUAUAUACACAGUAUAUACAUAUAUACUACAUAUAUUAUAUUACAAACACACACACACACACACACAGAAUACAUAUAGUAUAUAUACUACACUAUAUUAUUAUAAAAUCGGAUUAUUUAGUAUAUAAUGCUGAACAUGAUUAGAUCCACUCACCUCUAUGGUAUAGGUCUGGUCGUGUUUGACGGUUUCGCCUCUGCGGAGGGUGCGAGCGAAGGUGAACUCCGUCUGGGGGGGUUCUCUGGUCUCACCUCCCCCCACGUCCUCCCCACCCGAAGGCUCUAAAUCAGCCCCUUCAUCCCUCACGGAGGGCUCCUCCGCCCCCUUCUUCUUCUUCUUCUUCUUCUGUUUCUUCUGUCCGUCAGCAUGGGCUUUCCGCUGACGGUACUCGGCCAGCUGGAGUCACAGAGCAAACGAAAAACAAUCAUGUCAGAGUCAGACACACAAAUAAUAAUAAUAAUAAUAAUCAUUCAAUCUUAUAUUGACAAAAAAACAACCAUCAAGCGCGCUUGGAACACUAACAACGACACUCGACACUCAUUGCAUAACAGAACAAGAAACCUAACGACAUCCCAGUUCUGUUCACCAUAACUUUUCUCGACUGAAUUUUCCCUUUUCCCUGGCACACAUACCGUAACAGUAGCGAGUUUGCAGAAUUUGAAGCGAAGCAUCCUGCACACAAGUGCUCUCUGGCCGGCCACAGAGUGACCUGAAGCAGGCCAUGGCGAUUGCCACACUGUGACUGUUGUGUCUGCAUCUAAUCUCACAAAUACUUCCUGAGUGGAUUAAAGCUCAAGGAAUCCCCAGGGUCUGAGAUGUGCAAACAUCCACAUAUGCCCGUGCUCUUUGGCAUGUGCCCACGGAGCAGCCACCGUACCUGCCCGUCUAGAAGAGGGCAGUCUGAGCUCCGACCUCAACACACACACACACACACACACACACACACACACACACACACACACACACACACACACACACACACACACACACACACACACACACACACACACACAAACACACAGUGCAUUC
ensembl:lncRNA